UACGGGGGGGGCAAGCGUUGUUCGGAAUUACUGGGCGUAAAGGGCUCGUAGGUGGCCAACUAAGUCAGACGUGAAAUCCCUCGGCUUAACCGGGGAACUGCGUCUGAUACUGGAUGGCUUGAGUUCGGGAGAGGGAUGCGGAAUUCCAGGUGUAGCAGUGAAAUGCGUAGAGAUGUGGAGGAACACCGAUGGCGAAGGCAACCCCCUGGGACGAUACUGACGCUGAGGCACGAAAGCGUGGGGAGCAAACAGG
rnacentral:rRNA from 1 species